AUAUCAAUAAGCGGAGGAAAAGAAACUAACAAGGAUUCCCCUAGUAACGGCGAGUGAAGCGGGAACAGCUCAAAUUUGAAACCUGGCGGCCUUCGGUCGUCCGGAUUGUAUUCUAGAGAAGCGUUUUCCACGCUGGUCCACGUAUAAGUGCCCUGGAACGGGCUGUCAUAGAGGGUGAGAAUCCCGUCCUUGAUGUGGGCUACCAGUGUUUUUGUGAUGCGCUUUCGAAGAGUCGAGUUGUUUGGGAAUGCAGCUCAAAGUGGGUGGUAAAUUCCAUCUAAAGCUAAAUAUUGGCCUGAGACCGAUAGCGAACAAGUACCGUGAGGGAAAGAUGAAAAGCACUUUGAAAAGAGAGUCAAACAGUAC
rnacentral:rRNA from 1 species